AUAGCGUAUAUUAAAGUUGUUGCAGUUAAAAAGCUCGUAGUUGAACUUCAGACCUGGCCGGGCGGUCCUCCUCACGGUGCGUACUGUCUGGCCGGGCCUUACCUCUUGGUGAGCCAGCAUGCCCUUUACUGGGUGUGUCGGGGAACCAGGACUUUUACCUUGAGAAAAUUAGAGUGUUCAAAGCAGGCCUAUGCCUGAAUACGUUAGCAUGGAAUAAUGAAAUAGGACGUGCGGUUCUAUUUUGUUGGUUUCUAGAGUCGCCGUAAUGAUUAAUAGGGAUAGUUGGGGGCAUUCGUAUUCCGUUGCUAGAGGUGAAAUUCUUGGAUUUACGGAAGACGAACUUCUG
rnacentral:rRNA from 1 species